rnacentral:pre_miRNA from 1 species
UUUAUACUCCCUCCGUCCAAAAAUACUUGUCGGAGAAUGGAUGUAUCUAGACGUAUUUUAGUUUCUAGAUGCAUCCAUUUUUAUCCAUUUCUCCGACGAGUAUUUUCGGACAGAGGGAGUAUUUA